AUCUGUGGAGAUAUUCAAAACCUGAACAACAUCUGAGGCAAUCUGCUAUAACUGACCCUGCUCAAGCAGGCUGGUUGAUCUGGAAAGAAGUUAGACAUGUUGACAUGGUUCCAGGACAGCAACUAAAUGCCUUGGUAAAUUUAAAUGUGUGAAUAUUCCCAGUAGAAGGUGAUUCUAUUGUCCGUUAAAAAGAAGUAAAUCUGCAGCAUAUAGGAAGACA